rnacentral:rRNA from 1 species
UAGGGAGUCUUCGGCAAUGGACGGAAGUCUGACCGAGCAACGCCGCGUGAGUGAGGAAGGUUUUCGGAUCGUAAAGCUCUGUUGUAAGAGAAGAACGAGUGUGAGAGUGGAAAGUUCACACUGUGACGGUAUCUUACCAGAAAGGGACGGCUAACUACGUGCCAGCAGCCGCGGUAAUACGUAGGUCCCGAGCGUUGUCCGGAUUUAUUGGGCGUAAAGCGAGCGCAGGCGGUUAGAUAAGUCUGAAGUUAAAGGCUGUGGCUUAACCAUAGUACGCUUUGGAAACUGUUUAACUUGAGUGCAAGAGGGGAGAGUGGAAUUCCAUGUGUAGCGGUGAAAUGCGUAGAUAUAUGGAGGAACACCGGUGGCGAAAGCGGCUCUCUGGCUUGUAACUGACGCUGAGGCUCGAAAGCGUGGGGAGCAAACAGGAUUAGAUACCCUGGUAGUCCACGCCAUAAACGAUGAGUGCUAGGUGUUAGACCCUUUCCGGGGUUUAGUGCCGCAGCUAACGCAUUAAGCACUCCGCCUGGGGAGUACGACCGCAAGGUUG